rnacentral:rRNA from 1 species
AGAGUUUGAUCCUGGCUCAGGACGAACGCUGGCGGUGUGCUUCACACAUGCAAGUCGAGCGAAUGAAGUAGGUAGCUUGCUACUUAUGGAUUUAGCGGCGGACGGGUGAGUAAUAUAUAGGAAUCUGCCUUAGAGCGGGGAACAACAGACCGAAAGGUUUGCUAAUGCCCCAUAGGUAUGCAGUCUUCGGAUUGUAUAUUAAAGGAGUAAUCCACUCUAAGAUGAGCCUGUAUCCGAUUAGCUAGUUGGCGGGGUAAAGGCCCACCAAGGCUACGAUCGGUAGUUGGUCUGAGAGGAUGAUCAGCCACAAUGGGACUGAGACACGGCCCAUACUCCUACGGGAGGCAGCAGUGGGGAAUUUUACACAAUGGGGGAAACCCUGAUGUAGCGACACCGCGUGAACGAAGAAGCCUUUUGGGGUGUAAAGUUCUGUCGGCUGGAACGAAAAAAAUGACGGUACCAGCAAAGGAAGCAUCGGCUAACUACGUGCCAGCAGCCGCGGUAAGACGUAGGAUGCAAGCGUUGUCCGGAUUUAUUGGGCGUAAAGAGUUCGUAGGCGGUUAUUUAAGUCUGAUGUUAAAUACUGUGGCCCAACCACAGAACUGCAUUGGAUACUGGAUGACUUGAGUGCGGUAGAGGCAAGUGGAAUUCCCAGUGUAGCGGUGAAAUGCGUA